rnacentral:pre_miRNA from 1 species
AAGGUAUUAGGUUGGUGCCAAAGUAAUUGCAGUUUUUGCCGUUACUUUUAAUGGUAAAAACUGCAAUUACUUUUGCACCAACCUAAUAUUUA